UAUAAAUAGGAACAUAGGUGAUAAAUUAAUUGUUCUAGAUGAAUUUCUAUUUGCAAACACAUAAAUAUGUGGAUUUAUUAUAUUGAUUGGUAUGUGGAUUUAUUAUAUUGAUUGGUCUUUGUAAAUAUUUUAUAUUUGGAAUUCAUUAUUUUUUAUUUGAUCUAACACUGGCUUAAUAUGCAAUUUGUAUUGUUAAUAUUUAUUAAAAUAAACAGACUUAUAAUUUAAGGUUUUAAAGUUGUAUUUCGAGUCUACAAAACAUGAAUAUUGUUAAUAUAAAUAGGAAUGUCCAUAGUUGGAACUUGGAACUGUAUUGUCAUUAAGGCUACAUAUAGAUUCUUUUGUAACUGUAUCGAAUGUCUCUUAUUAAAACAGAAACACUCAUUUAGACCUAGCCUUAAGUCAUAGAUUAUAUUAUAUUAAAUGUUAUUAAUAAUUAAAAGAAACAAUAUAAUUUUAGUUUUUCAAUUCCGGUAUGGUUACAUAGACUACCUCAAGUUUGAUUAAUGGAAGAGCCGUUCGUUGUCAAAAAAAUAAAUAGAAUUUCAGUAAGGAUAGAUUAUGAAAAAUAACAUUAUACUACUAAAUAUGUUCCAAACAACACAAAAUAAUUUUGUGUUGAAACAAUAUGAAACAGUUGAAAUAAUUAAAACCAAAUUAAGUAGUAUUUUGAAAUUUUCAUAUUAAAUAUAAUAAAAAAUUUAUUUAGUUUUCAAAUUCACUAAAAAAAUGUUAAAAAUUACUUAUAAAGAUAUUAAAAAUAUAUUUAUUUUGUAAAGGAGAUUUUGUCAAGUAAUAUGUUUUGCGCUUUAAAGGGAGAAUCAUAAUCUAUUUAGAAAUUAAAAUAUAUAAAUGAUAUAAAAGUUAUACUUGUACUAGUUGUUACUUUUAUUUUUGAUUAAAAUAAAUCGAUAAAAUAUAUAUCCAAUAAAAUUAAUCAAAUUCUCCAAAAUUUUCAUAGAUGAACGAUCCAUAAAAAGAAUUCACUUAGAUGAUCUCUAUUUUAAAAUAAAAAAGAUUUUAAUUGUUUUAUAAUCAAUAAGAUUUCCUCAUAUACAUCAAAUGUUUAUUUCUUAUUUUUUACCCAAAAAGUAUAGGCUGUGAAUUAAAUAUCUAUUUUUGGUGAAAUAUGAACGAGUCUAAUGCAUUAGUAUAUCAAAUAAGUAAAACAGAUUCUAGAAUUAUGCAAAACCACCUCCUUUUAUCAAAACUAAAGGAGGUAAGUAGCUUAAAUUAGAUAUAUCUUAAUAUAGGAUACAUUCAACUUCUAUAUACAUACACUUUUUUGUUCUUUAAACACAACAAAUUUACAAAAAAAAAUAAAAAUCAUAGUCAAUUCAUUUAUAUUACCAAGGAUGAAAAAAUCAGUCAUAUUUUCAUUUAAUGUUUUAACUCUCCUCAUAAUUCUUGUACUAGUGGACGGAGCGAUGGGGCAAGGAAGUAAAAAAAAAACAUAUGGUCUCCCGUACUUCUAGAUAACAACCAAAAUGGAAGUUGUAAAGACAAGCAAGGUUGCAUAUCUGCUUGCAAGAAGAGGACAGAACCAUUAGGGAAAACGGAAAUAAACACCGGUUGCAUCCCAGGAAACAAAUGCGGAUGCUAUAUCCGAUGUCCAGCAUGAUAUUAAUGUUUAUUUUAUUGACAAUAAAAAUCAGAUACAUUUAUAAUAAAUUAUGAUGCCGUUUAUAGUAAUAAUUAAAUAA